UCCUGCUCUCUGAAAAAGAUUUAAAGGUGUCACUAAUCAGGCUCAGUGGAAACGGAACCCUUAAACAAGGAGACUCGUUAAAUCUGCCAUGUGAUGUGAACAGCCUUCAGGUCGAGGAAAUUCCUGAUGAUUGGUCAGUCUGGAUCAUUGUUGGUGUGACAGCUGGAGUGAUUUCCAUCAUCUUAGUCAUCUUAGGAGCUGUGAUUUACAGCAGGAGGAGUGUCCACAUUGAGAAGCAGAUAAAUAACGAUUCUAACAUCUACGCUAAUGUCCAGAAGAAAAAGGAUGAUGAUUUUGAGAUCUACGCUAAUGUCUAAUAGCAAUGAGCUGACCACAGUUUCACACUUCAUGUGCAGCUUUGAGUCUUCUGCUGGUGAACUUCCUCUGUAAGCUAAAAUUAAAGGUCUAACCACAAAUCGCUUUGUUGCAUUUAUUCUUGA